rnacentral:rRNA from 1 species
GAUGAACGCUGGCGGCGUGCCUAAUACAUGCAAGUCGAGCGAACAGACGAGGAGCUUGCUCCUCUGACGUUAGCGGCGGACGGGUGAGUAACACGUGGAUAACCUACUUAUAAGACUGGGAUAACUACGGGAAACCGGAGCUAAUACUGGAUAAUAUAUUGAACCGCAUGGAUCAAUAGUGAAAGACGGUUUUGCUGUCUCUUAUAGAUGGAUCCGCGUCGCAUUAGCUAGUUGGUAAGGUAACGGCUUACCAAGGCGACGAUGCGUAGCCGACCUGAGAGGGUGAUCGGCCACACUGGAACUGAGACACGGUCCAGACUCCUACGGGAGGCAGCAGUAGGGAAUCUUCCGCAAUGGGCGAAAGCCUGACGGAGCAACGCCGCGUGAGUGAUGAAGGUCUUCGGAUCGUAAAGCUCUGUUAUUGGGAAAGAACAAAUGUGUAAGUAACUAUGCACGUCUUGACGGUACCUAAUCAAAAAGCCACGGCUAACUACGUG